AUCCUCCAAGGCUAAAUACUCCUGACUGACCGAUAGUGAACCAGUACCGUGAGGGAAAGGCGAAAAGAACCCCGGCGAGGGGAGUGAAAAAGAACCUGAAACCGUGUACGUACAAGCAGUGGGAGCCCCACCACUAAGCCAGUGGUGAACUCCACAUACGCAUCCUUUGCUGAGGAUACGGUUAACGGAGCGAAAGCGACGUUCAACCGCAAAAGAAGCAGAGGGGGCUUAGUGGUGGGGUGACUGCGUACCUUUUGUAUAAUGGGUCAGCGACUUAUAUUCUGUAGCAAGGUUAACCGAAUAGGGGAGCCGGAGGGAAACCGAGUCUUAAUUGGGCGUUAAGUUGCAGGGUAUAGACCCGAAACCCGGUGAUCUAGCCAUGGGCAGGUUGAAGGUUGGGUAACACUAACUGGAGGACCGAACCGACUAAUGUUGAAAAAUUAGCGGAUGACCUGUGGCUGGGGGUGAAAGGCCAAUCAAACCGGGAGAUAGCUGGUUCUCCCCGAAAGCUAUUUAGGUAGCGCCUCGUGAAUUCAUCUCCGGGGGUAGAGCACUGUUUCGGCUAGGGGGCCAUCCCGGCUUACCAACCCGAUGCAAACUGCGAAUACCGGAGAAUGUUAUCACGGGAGACACACGGCGGGUGCUAACGUCCGUCGUGAAGAGGGAAACAACCCAGACCGCCAGCUAAGGUCCCAAAGUCAUGGUUAAGUGGGAAACGAUGUGGGAAGGCCCAGACAGCCAGGAUGUUGGCUUAGAAGCAGCCAUCAUUUAAAGAAAGCGUAAUAGCUCACUGGUCGAGUCGGCCUGCGCGGAAGAUGUAACGGGGCUAAACCAUG
rnacentral:rRNA from 1 species